rnacentral:rRNA from 1 species
ACAAGGUUUCCGUAGGUGAACCUGCGGAAGGAUCAUUAAUGAAUUCACUAUGGAGUUGUUGCUGGCCUCUAGGGGCAUGUGCACGCUUCACUAGUCUUUCAACCACCUGUGAACUUUUGAUAGAUCUGUGAAGUCGUCUCUCAAGUCGUCAGACUUGGUUGCUGGGAUWUAAACGUCUCGGUGUGACUACGCAGUCUAUUUACUUACACACCCCAAAUGUAUGUCUACGAAUGUCAUUUAAUGGGCCUUGUGCCUAUAAACCAUAAUACAACUUUCAACAACGGAUCUCUUGGCUCUCGCAUCGAUGAAGAACGCAGCGAAAUGCGAUAAGUAAUGUGAAUUGCAGAAUUCAGUGAAUCAUCGAAUCUUUGAACGCACCUUGCGCCCCUUGGUAUUCCGAGGGGCAUGCCUGUUUGAGUGUCAUUAAAUUCUCAAACUCACUUUGGUUUCUUUCCAAUUGUGAUGUUUGGAUUGUUGGGGGCUGCUGGCCUUGACAGGUCGGCUCCUCUUAAAUGCAUUAGCAGGACUUCUCAUUGCCUCUGCGCAUGAUGUGAUAAUUAUCACUCAUCAAUAGCACGCAUGAAUAGAGUCCAGCUCUCUAAUCGUCCGCAAGGACAAUUUGACAAUUUGACCUCAAAUCAGGUAGGACUACCCGCUGAACUUAAGCAU